GACGAACGCUGGCGGCGUGGAUUAGGCAUGCAAGUCGAACGGUAUCAUCCUUCGGGGGUGAGAGAGUGGCGAACUGGUGAGUAACACGUAGGUUAUCUACCCUCAAGACGGGGACAACCCAGGGAAACUUGGGCUAAUACCGGAUGUGAGCAACUUUUAGUUGUUUGAAAGGUGGCGUAAGCUGUCGCUUGGGGAUGAGCCUGCGUCCUAUUAGUUAGUUGGUGAGGUAACGGCUCACCUAGGCAAUGAUAGGUAGGCGGCCUUAACGGGUGGUCGCCCACACUGGGAUUGAGAUACGGCCCAGACUCCUACGGGAGGCAGCAGUCGAGAAUAGUCUACAAUGGCCGGAAGACUGAUAGUGCGACGCCGCGUGAACGAUGAAUCCCUUCGGGGUGUAAAGUUCUUUUAUAUGUGAGCAGUGCUUCUUAUAUUAACAGUAUGGGGAGAGAGAUAUUAGCAUAUGAAUAAGCAACGGCUAACUCCGUG
rnacentral:rRNA from 1 species